AUACGUCCUAGCCCCAGAAGAUGGGGAACUGCCUCAAAUCCCCCACCUCGGAUGAGAUCUCCCUGCUUCACGAGUCUCAGUCCCACCGGGCUAGCUUUGGCGAGGGGACGGAGCCGCCGCCGCCAUAUCAGGAACAAGUUCCAGUUCCAGUCUAUCAUCCAACACCUAGCCAAACUCGGCUAGCAACUCAGCGGACUGAAGAGGAACAAAUUAGGAUAGCUCAAAGAAUAGGCCUUAUACAGCAUCUGCCUAAAGGAGUUUAUGACCCUGGAAGAGAUGGAUCAGAAAAAAAGAUCCGGGAGUGUGUGAUCUGUAUGAUGGACUUUGUUUAUGGGGACCCAAUUCGAUUUCUGCCGUGCAUGCGCAUCUAUCACCUGGACUGUAUAGAUGACUGGUUGAUGAGAUCCUUCACGUGCCCCUCCUGCAUGGAGCCAGUUGAUGCAGCACUGCUUUCAUCCUAUGAGACUAAUUGAGCCAGGAUCUCUUGUCUGACUUCAAGUGAACCAUCACUUUUGGUGGUUUUGAUCUUUUGUCAUGAGCCCAAAGAGCCAGGGAUUAGGAAUUAAGAUCAUGCACAAAAAUUUCCUAAAAAUUCCUGGAUGGCUGCAGAUGUUGGGGGAAAGUAUGUGAUAUUUUAGAAACUUAGAGGGAAAAGUAGGAUGGUAUUUUUACGUAAAGCCUUGACCCAGUGUUUAAAAAUAUAGUUGUAUUUAGAUCUUGUUAUUGCUCCAGUAGAUAGGAAUUGUGUAAAGUGUUACAGCAGCUGUAUAUUGUUUAAAUUGUGUGUGUUGAAGAUUAGGAAAAAGAUAGUGGUUAUUUUUUCCUAAAUAACUUUCUUCUCCACCCCACCCCACCUCCCACUCUUUUCUGAAGUUGCUGGCAUUUGGGUCAAGGUUUUAUUAAAGCUACAUUUUAUAAGACUGCCACAAAAAAA